rnacentral:rRNA from 1 species
AGCGAACGCUGGCGGCAGGCCUAACACAUGCAAGUCGAGCGCCCCGCAAGGGGAGCGGCAGACGGGAGAGUAACACGUGGGAACGUACCCUUCGGUUCGGAACAACCCAGGGAAACUUGGGCUAAUACCGGAUACGUCCGAAAGGAGAAAGAUUUAUCGCCGAGGGAUCGGCCCGCGUCUGAUUAGCUAGUUGGUGGGGUAACGGCCGACCAAGGCGACGAUCAGUAGCUGGUCUGAGAGGAUGAUCAGCCUCACUGGGACUGAGACACGGCCCAGACUCCUACGGGAGGCAGCAGUGGGGAAUAUUGGACAAUGGGCGCAAGCCUGAUCCAGCCAUGCCGCGUGGUGAUGAAGGCCCUAGGGUUGUAAAGCCCUUUCGGCGGGGAAGAUAAUGACGGUACCCGCAGAAGAAGCCCCGGCUAACUUCGUGCCAGCCGCCGCCGUAAUAC